rnacentral:rRNA from 1 species
UACGUAGGUGGCAAGCGUUGUUCGGAAUUACUGGGCGUAAAGCGCGCGUAGGCGGCUCUUCAAGUCAGGCGUGAAAGCCCCGAGCUUAACUCGGGAACUGCGCUUGAUACUGUCGAGCUAGAGUGUGGAAGGGGCGAUUGGAAUUCCGUGUGUAGCGGUGAAAUGCGUAGAUAUACGGAGGAACACCAGAGGCGAAGGCGGAUCGCUGGGCCAACACUGACGCUGGAUGUGCGAAAGCCUAGGGGGAGCAAAACGGG